UGGGAUUACAGGUGUGAGCCACUGCAUCCAGCCAUAAGAAUCCAUUUUCUUUUGCAACAGGACACAACUGGAGAAACUCAUUGUUUUAUCAAGGCUUUGACUGGAAGGGUAUGCUUCCCUUUAAGGAGUCAAGCUUGACUUGCAGAGCUGAUAUAAAGCCCCUUGGGGAAACUGGUCUCAUACACUCAUCUACACAGUCCCUGUACAGAGUUUGUGACCUGUGGUCAGUAAAGAAUGUCGCUUUCUAACAGGCCCAAGAGCUCCAAGCUUAUCUUGGAAACUUAAGAGGAGAGGAUCACCGAACUCACAGAUGAACCCUACUUGUUCCUGUGAAGGAACCAGCAAUCUCUGGCUGCAGCUCAGAAAGAACAAAAGAGAUGGGUAUUUGCUAGCAAGAUAAAGGAACCAGCAUGCCUGCUCCCUUCUUCCUAAAUGAGUACUCAUCUUCAGUCUGGACCCUUUUGAAUGCAUCCUGAACCCCUGGGACUCCUUUGAAAAAAAUAAUCCUUGUUUUUUCCUUUCUUCUCUUCUAUCUCCUCUUCACUGACAGGUAAUUGUGUUUCCAUACUAUAAGACACUCCCCUCAGAUGCAUCAUCCAAACUGAGAAGAAUUAAUUUCCCAAACUUUAAACUGGUUGGCUUAGGAUUGGGCUCAGGGGAAGGGAACCCAGAAGCCCAACAUACCAGCAAAAGGGUAAAAUUUUUUUUUUACCAGUUGGGCCUUAAGCCCUCCUCUCCCUGUGCAAACUGGUAACAAGCCUUGGGAUUUUUGAGCUCUUCUUACC